GUAUCGUUGCGUGAAUACAUAGCGCAGCGAGGCGAACCGGGAGAACUGAAACAUCUAAGUACCCCGAGGAACAGAAAUCAACCGAGAUCCCCUUAGUAGCGGCGAGCGAACGGGGGCCAGCCCUUAAGCAGCCUGGGUGGUAGUGGAACGGUCCUGGAAAGGCCGGCCAUAGCGGGUGAUAGCCCCGUACACCAAACUACCCUGGUUGUGAAAUCGAGUAGGACGGGACACGUGUUAUCCUGUCUGAACAUGGGGGGACCAUCCUCCAAGGCUAAAUACUCCUGACUGACCGAUAGUGAACCAGUACCGUGAGGGAAAGGCGAAAAGAACCCCUGUGAGGGGAGUGAAAUAGAACCUGAAACCGUGUACGUACAAGCAGUGGAAGCCUCCUUGUGGGGUGACUGCGUACCUUUUGUAUAAUGGGUCAGCGACUUACUUUUAGUAGCAAGGUUAACCGUAUAGGGGAGCCGUAGGGAAACCGAGUCUUAACUGGGCGAACAGUUGCUAGGAGUAGACCCGAAACCCGGUGAUCUAGCCAUGGGCAGGUUGAAGGUUGAGUAACAUCAACUGGAGGACCGAACCCACUAACGUUGCAAAGUUAGGGGAUGACCUGUGGCUGGGGGUGAAAGGCCAAUCAAACCGGGAGAUAGCUGGUUCUCCCCGAAAGCUAUUUAGGUAGCGCCUCGGACUUAUACUACUGGGGGUAGAGCACUGUUUGGACUAGGGGGUCAUCCCGACUUACCAACUCCAUGCAAACUCCGAAUACCAGUAAGUACUAUCCGGGAGACACACGGCGGGUGCUAACGUCCGUCGUGAAGAGGGAAACAACCCAGACCGCCGGCUAAGGUCCCCAAGUUCUGGUUAAGUGGGAAACGAGGUGGGAAGGCUCAGACAGCCAGGAUGUUGGCUUAGAAGCAGCCAUCAUUUAAAGAAAGCGUAAUAGCUCACUGGUCGAGUCGGCCUGCGCGGAAGAUGUAACGGGGCUAAACCAGGCACCGAAGCCGCGGAUUCAGAAUUUAUUCUGAGUGGUAGGGGAGCGUUCUGUAAGUCUGCGAAGGUGUGUCGUGAGGCAUGCUGGAGAUAUCAGAAGUGCGAAUGCUGACAUGAGUAACGAUAAUGGGGGUGAAAAACCUCCACGCCGGAAGACCAAGGGUUCCUGUCCAACGUUAAUCGGGGCAGGGUGAGUCGGCCCCUAAGGCGAGGCCGAAAGGCGUAGUCGAUGGGAAACGGGUUAAUAUUCCCGUACUGACGUGCAUUGCGAUGGGGGGACGGAGAAGGCUAGAUGGGCCAGGCGUUGGUAGUCCUGGUGAAAGGG
rnacentral:rRNA from 1 species